rnacentral:ncRNA from 2 species
CCAAAAUUAUUAGCACCGGGUGCCCGCCUCAGAACGGGCCAAAAAGGGAAUCCCGUUGAACCGGGAGCUGCCCCGCAACUGUAUGCGGCGACGAAAUCUUAACUAACCACUGGCUUCAACGCCGGGAAGGAUAAGAGAGUAGGAUGACCCGCGAGCCAGGAGACCUGCCAGGUGUUAUUGUUCUUU